rnacentral:Y_RNA from 1 species
GGCUGGUCCAAAAGUAAUGAAUUCCCUCAAAAAAAAAAAACUGUUCACUAUCAGUUACAGACCAAAGUCCUUGCUCUACACUUUCUACCUUCCCACUGUUAUGCCUGACUAGUCUAAA